AGUUUAGACAAUUAACUUUAGUGGCGAACGGGUGAGUAACGCGUAAGCAAUCUGCCCCUAAGACGAGGAUAACAGUUGGAAACGACUGCUAAGACUGGAUAGGAGACAAGAAGGCAUCUUCUUGUUUUUAAAAGACCUAGCAAUAGGUAUGCUUAGGGAGGAGCUUGCGUCACAUUAGUUAGUUGGUGGGGUAAAGGCCUACCAAGACUAUGAUGUGUAGCCGGGCUGAGAGGUUGAACGGCCACAUUGGGACUGAGACACGGCCCAAACUCCUACGGGAGGCAGCAGUAGGGAAUUUUCGGCAAUGGAGGAAACUCUGACCGAGCAACGCCGCGUGAACGAUGAAGUAUUUCGGUACGUAAAGUUCUUUUAUUAGGGAAGAAUAAAUGAUGGAAAAAUCAUUCUGACGGUACCUAAUGAAUAAGCCCCGGCUAACUAUGUGCCAGCAGCCGCGGUAAUACAUAGGGGGCAAGCGUUAUCCGGAAUUAUUGGGCGUAAAGGGUGCGUAGGCGGUUAAAUAAAGUUUAUGGUCUAAGUGCAAUGCUCAACAUUGUGAUGCUAUAAAAACUGUUUAGCUAGAGUAAGAUAGAGGCAAGUGGAAUUCCAUGUGUAGUGGUAAAAUGCGUAAAUAUAUGGAGGAACACCAGUAGCGAAGGCGGCUUGCUGGGUCUUUACUGACGCUGAGGCACGAAAGCGUGGGGAGCAAACAGGAUUAGAUACCCUGGUAGUCCACGCCGUAAACGAUGAGUACUAAACGUUGGGUAAAACCAGUGUUGAAGUUAACACAUUAAGUACUCCGCCUGAGUAGUACGUACGCAAGUAUGAAACUUAAAGGAAUUGACGGGACUCCGCACAAGCGGUGGAUCAUGUUGUUUAAUUCGAAGGUACCCGAAAAACCUCACCAGGUCUUGACAUGCUUUUGCAAAGCUGUAGAAACACAGUGGAGGUUAUCAGUUGCACAGGUGGUGCAUGGUUGUCGUCAGCUCGUGUCGUGAGAUGUUGGGUUAAGUCCCGCAACGAGCGCAACCCUUAUUGUUAGUUACCAGCACGUAAUGGUGGGGACUUUAGCAAGACUGCCAGUGAUAAAUUGGAGGAAGGUGGGGACGACGUCAAAUCAUCAUGCCCCUUAUGACCUGGGCUACAAACGUGAUACAAUGGCUGUUACAAAGGGUAGCUGAAGCGCAAGUUUUUGGCGAAUCUCAAAAAAACAGUCUCAGUUCGGAUUGAAGUCUGCAACUCGACUUCAUGAAGUUGGAAUCGCUAGUAAUCGCGAAUCAGCAUGUCGCGGUGAAUACGUUCUCGGGGUUUGUACACACCGCCCGUCAAACCACGAAAGUUGGCAAUACCCAAAGCCGGUGGCCUAACUUCGCAAGAAGAGGGAACCGUCUAAGGUAGGGUCGAUGAUUGGGGUUAAGUCGUAACAAGGUAUCCCUACCGGAAGGUGGGGAUGGAUCACCUCCUUUCU
rnacentral:rRNA from 1 species